rnacentral:rRNA from 1 species
CCUACGGGAGGCUGCAGUGGGGAAUAUUGGGCAAUGGGCGCAAGCCUGACCCAGCAACGCCGCGUGAAGGAAGAAGGCCUUCGGGUUGUAAACUUCUUUUAAGAGGGAAGAGCAGAAGACGGUACCUCUUGAAUAAGCCAGGGCUAACUACGUGCGAGCAGCCGCGGUAAUACGUAGGUGGCAAGCGUUGUCCGGAGUUACUGGGUGUAAAGGGCGUGUAGCCGGGCUGACAAGUCAGAUGUGAAAUCCCCGGGCUCAACCCCGGACCUGCAUUUGAAACUGGUGGUCUUGAGUAUCGGAGAGGCAGGCGGAAUUCCUGGUGUAGCGGUGAAAUGCGUAGAUAGUAGGAGGAACACCAGUGGCGAAGGCGGCCUGCUGGACGACAACUGACGGUGAGGCGCGAAAGCGUGGGGAGCAAACAGGAUUAGAUACCCUUGUAGUC